AACGAACGCUGGCUUGCGUGGCUAAGGCAUGCAAGUCGAACGGACUCCCGGAUGAGUAAUCUGAAGGGAAGUUAGUGGCGAACGGGUGAGGAAUGCAUGGAUAACGUACCCUGGACUCGGGGAUAGCGGCGGACUUCGGUCCUUUGCGAAAGUGCCGGUAAUACCCGAUGAUCCCGCUCCGUAGCAUUGUGGAGCGGGCAAAGUUCCGGCGGUCCAGGAGCGGUCCAUGCCCUAUCAGCUUGUUGGUGGGGUAAAAGCCUACCAAAGCAACGACGGGUAUCGGGUGUGAGAGCAUGACCCGACACAUCGGAACUGAGACACUGUCCGGACACCUACGGGUGGCUGCAGCAACGAAUAUUCCGCAAUGGGCGAAAGCCUGACGGAGCGACACCGCGUGCAGGAUGAAGUCCUUCGGGAUGUAAACUGCUGUCAGGGGUGAGGAAGAAAGUGACCAACCCCAGAGGAAGCAUCGGCUAACUCCGUGCCAGCAGCCGCGGUAAUACGGAGGAUGCAAGCGUUGUUCGGAAUCACUGGGCUUAAAGCGCAUGUAGGCGGAGCAGUGUGUGUCUUGUGAAAGCCCUCGGCUCAACCGAGGAAUUGCUUGGCAAACUGCUGCUCUUGAGGCAGGUAGAGGCGACUGGAACCUUUGGUGGAGAGGUGAAAUUCGUAGAUAUCAAAGGGAACGCCGGUGGCGAAAGCGGGUCGCUGGGCCUGUCCUGACGCUGAGAUGCGAAAGCGUAGGGAGCGAACGGGAUUAGAUACCCCGGUAGUCUACGCCGUAAACGAUGCGCACUAGGUAC
rnacentral:rRNA from 1 species